AGAGUUUGAUCCUGGCUCAGGAUGAACGCUGGCGGCAUGCCUAAUACAUGCAAGUCGAACGAGAGGAAGGAAAGCUUGCUUUCCUGAAUCUAGUGGCGAACGGGUGAGUAACACGUAGGUAACCUGCCCAUGUGCCCGGGAUAACUUCUGGAAACGGAUGCUAAAACCGGAUAGGUAGCAGACAAGCAUUUGACUGCUAUUAAAGUGGCCUUGGCCAUGAACAUGGAUGGACCUGCGGUGCAUUAGCUGGUUGGUGAGGUAACGGCCCACCAAGGCGACGAUGCAUAGCCGGCCUGAGAGGGCGGACGGCCACAUUGGGACUGAGACACGGCCCAAACUCCUACGGGAGGCAGCAGUAGGGAAUUUUCGUCAAUGGGGGGAACCCUGAACGAGCAAUGCCGCGUGAGUGAGGAAGGUCUUCGGAUCGUAAAGCUCUGUUGUAAGAGAAAAACGGCACUCAUAGGGAAUGAUGAGUGAGUGAUGGUAUCUUACCAGAAAGUCACGGCUAACUACGUGCCAGCAGCCGCGGUAAUACGUAGGUGGCGAGCGUUAUCCGGAAUGAUUGGGCGUAAAGGGUGCGUAGGUGGCAGAUCAAGUCUGGAGUAAAAGGUAUGGGCUCAACCCGUACUGGCUCUGGAAACUGAUCAGCUAGAGAACAGAAGAGGACGGUGGAACUCCAUGUGUAGCGGUAAAAUGCGUAGAUAUAUGGAAGAACACCGGUGGCGAAGGCGGCCGUCUGGUCUGGAUUCUGACACUGAAGCACGAAAGCGUGGGGAGCAAAUAGGAUUAGAUACCCUAGUAGUCCACGCCGUAAACGAUGAGAACUAGGUGUUGGGGGAAUCACUCAGUGCCGCAGUU
rnacentral:rRNA from 1 species